AUUGAACGCUGGCGGUAUGCUUAAGACAUGCAAGUCGUGCGGUAGAAGGCUUCGGCCUUUGAGAGCGGCGGACGGGUGAGUAACACGUGGGAAUCUGCCUAUUAGUGGGGGACAGCCCAGCGAAAGCUGGAUUAAUACCGCAUACGCCCUACGGGGGAAAGCAGCAAUGCGCUAAUAGAUGAGCCCGCGUAAGAUUAGCUAGUUGGUAAGGUAAAGGCUUACCAAGGCGACGAUCUUUAGCUGGUCUGAGAGGAUGGCCAGCCACAUCGGGACUGAGACACGGCCCGGACUCCUACGGGAGGCAGCAGUCGGGAAUAUUGGACAAUGGGCGCAAGCCUGAUCCAGCAAUACCGCGUGUGUGAAGAAGGCCUGCGGGUUGUAAAGCACUUUCAGUUGGGAAGAUAAUGACGUUACCAACAGAAGAAGCACCGGCUAACUCCGUG
rnacentral:rRNA from 1 species